UUUUUUUAGACUAGUGAAAACUCAUUUACAAGCUUGUUUUUGAUGUACCAUAAGAGGAGAUUUCUAUGUAUAUAUGCCCUAAAAUUGAAAAUUUGUACUCACUUGUACACAUAUGCAUAGCUCCACAAUGACCAAGAGAUGAAAAGAGUUUAGUGUAUACCAGUAGAUGAAUGGAUAAACCAACAGUGGUAUAGACAUACCAUGGAAUAUUAUCCUUUGCUAAGGAAGAAUGAAUUACUGAUACAUGCUACCAAUGCAAAGAAAACUCAAUAAUAUGUUAAAUGAAAGAUGGAGGAGAAAUUGAGCAACAAGUGCUGAAUGGGUAUGAACAUGUUUUCGGGCUGAUGAAAACACUUUGGAAUUACAUAGAUGGUUUACAUUGUGAUUGUAAUGAAUGUCACUGGAUGUUUAAUUUAUAGUGGUUAAAUUUAUAUUGUGUGACUAUUUUCUCAAUUCUUUAAAUUUUAUGUUUUAGUUCUUCUUAUCAGUGAGAUGAGAAGUAAAUUGGCUCUUCAAAAGAAACAUUGUCUCUCAAAGAAAAGAAGUAAUUAUAAUAAAAUUUGAAAACUUACAGAGAAUUCAAUGUAUGUUUCUCCUAGCAUAUUGAUUUUCUUACCUCCAUAAGUUAUAUCUUCAAGAAAAAAAUAUAUUUUAAAUAGGUUCUGGGCAUUUAUAGCGACCAACACGUAUUUCAUAUUCUCAGUAAAGUAACUAAAUACCAUUCUGCUUCAAGUGAUAUUGUAUUCUAACCUUGUAUAUCCAUACCUAAACUCUAGAAAUUUUAGAGUUCCUAGUAUUCAAUUUCUUUGACUAUAAAAGGAAGAAAUUAACUUGUUAGAGGGUAUUAACUGGAAGCAUAUAUAAAAAUCCAUACAUAUAUACAUUACUUCAAAUCUUAUGAAUCAAACGUGAAGGGACAUUGUCUUAGCAGGCAUGUUUUAAAAACAAACCUUCAUUUUCUAACAUACCAAUUAAUAGUUAUGAGAUCUAAUGAUCUUCUUUGCUUUCUAUAUAUAAUAUGGAAAACACCUUGAAAUUAUGACCAAAUUAUGAACCAACACCACUGAAGGACUUUUGUACAUUAAAAUAAAAUCACAAAUAUCUUCUUGAUAUUUCAGAUUAUUUUUUGCAUGAUUAAUCAUAG
rnacentral:lncRNA from 1 species